rnacentral:sRNA from 1 species
CAUGAUUAAGAAGAUCAUUCUCGUAGUAGGAAGGCACAUGGGCAAGGCGGCGUAGCCGCCAGGCGACAGCCGCUCAUGUGCAGAAGACAGGCUCCCUCGGGGGCCUUUUUUAUUGGGCCGAA